rnacentral:misc_RNA from 1 species
AAUUCUCAACCUUAACAGCUUUUGCUGAUAAUGGCUUGGAUGUGGGGGUCUCUUUUGCUGGCUUAGGUCGGCUCCCCUCAAAUGUAUUAGCCGGUGCCCCGCGCAGAACCGUCUAUUGGUGUGAUAAUUAUCUACGCCAUUAGUGAUCUGCAUGAAUGGGAUUGUGCUGCUUCUAACCGUCCUUAUUGGACAUAUAAUGACA